CACUCUCACCCUAACAAAAAUUUCACGCUUGAAUCUCAGCUCCAUUCAGACAAAAAAAAUAAAAUCUCAGCCCCAAAUCGAAACAACACUCCCUUCCUCCUCCAGACCCAAACCCUUAAUCUCUCUCUCUCUCUCUCUCUCUCUCUCUCUUCCUCCUUCGAUGAAAGGUCUGACCUAAGAGCGUUGUAGCUAAGGAUCAACGCCACCACCCCAUGACCACUGACUGCUCCACGUUUUGUUUCACAAGCACUGGAUGGUUCUUAUUGUAGAUCUCUUCAAUGACUCUAAAAGGUAAGAAAGACUAUAAUCUAUGUUCCCAGCAGCUGUUAGAAGUCCUUGUACUGAUAUUGCUUGUGUUUUGCAGUUAUGGUUUGCUUCACUUCAUUGACAGAGGAAGAGAAGGAAAAAGCAGUGCAGCUUGACUCAUGGAACUAGUUCAUUGAAAUGAGAGAAGUCUUUUUUAGACAAAUGGUGACUUGUAGAUUCUCUAAUUUGUGGUACCCAGCUAGCUACAUUCUGGACGAAGACAUCCCUUGUGCACAUAAACUCUAUUUGGUCUAUGAGAAAGUCUGGCCUUCGAGUUAAGGAAGGUGAGUUAGUUAAGGAAGGUGUGGUUGUGAUUAUUCUAGUACCAUUUACACCCACUUUUGGACAUGAAGCAUCACAUCCUCUCAAACUAUCAAGGAGAUCAUCUUUUUGGAUGUUUACUUUGUUUUGGACAGUGCAAAGUAUCAAAUCUUCUCAAACUUGAUAGGAUUGACUUUGUGGGAUUAGUUAAAGACAAUUUUAAUGUACUAGAAUCAUUUUGAAUAAUAGAAAUAUA